GAUAGGCCGCUGUCGCUAGGGUGAUUGGACACUGACACUGAGUCAAUUAGCCUUGGUCACGUGGUUCUUCGCGCGCGUAGAACCGGGACGGUCCGAGCCACGAGGGGGGAGGCUCGGACCGUCCGUC
rnacentral:ncRNA from 1 species